rnacentral:rRNA from 1 species
ACGAACGCUGGCGGCGUGCUUAACACAUGCAAGUCGAACGGUGAAGGGACUGGUUUUGCUGGUCCUGGAUGAGUGGCGAACGGGUGAGUAACACGUGAGUAACCUGCCCCCUUCUUCUGGAUAACCGCAUGAAAGUGUGGCUAAUACGGGAUAUUCUGGGUCUGUCGCAUGGUGGGCCUGGGAAAGAUUGCGCCUUUUUUGGUGUUUUUGGUGGGGGAUGGGCUCGCGGCCUAUCAGCUUGUUGGUGGGGUGAUGGCCUACCAAGGCGGUGACGGGUAGCCGGCCUGAGAGGGUGGACGGUCACACUGGGACUGAGACACGGCCCAGACUCCUACGGGAGGCAGCAGUGGGGAAUAUUGCACAAUGGGCGCAAGCCUGAUGCAGCGACGCCGCGUGAGGGAUGGAGGCCUUCGGGUUGUGAACCUCUUUCGCCAGUGAAGCAGGCCUGCCUCUUUUUGUGGGUGGGUUGACGGUAGCUGGAUAAGAAGCGCUGGCUAACUACGUG